rnacentral:rRNA from 1 species
UACGAAGGGGGCUAGCGUUGUUCGGAAUUACUGGGCGUAAAGGGCGCGCAGGCGCCAUUCAAGUCAGAUGUGAAAGCCCCGGGCUCAACCUGGGAACUGCAUUUGAGACUGAACGGCUAGAGUUCGGGAGAGGAGAGUGGAAUUCCCAGUGUAGAGGUGAAAUUCGUAGAUAUUGGGAAGAACACCGGUGGCGAAGGCGGCUCUCUGGGACGGUACUGACGCUGAGACGCGAAAGCGUGGGGAGCGAACAGG